rnacentral:rRNA from 1 species
UGGGGAAUAUUGCACAAUGGGCGCAAGCCUGAUGCAGCCAUGCCGCGUGUGUGAAGAAGGCCUUCGGGUUGUAAAGCACUUUCAGCGAGGAGGAAGGUGGUGAGCUUAAUACGCUCAUCAAUUGACGUUACUCGCAGAAGAAGCACCGGCUAACUCCGUGCCAGCAGCCGCGGUAAUACGGAGGGUGCAAGCGUUAAUCGGAAUUACUGGGCGUAAAGCGCACGCAGGCGGUUUGUUAAGUCAGAUGUGAAAUCCCCGGGCUCAACCUGGGAACUGCAUUUGAAACUGGCAAGCUAGAGUCUCGUAGAGGGGGGUAGAAUUCCAGGUGUAGCGGUGAAAUGCGUAGAGAUCUGGAGGAAUACCGGUGGCGAAGGCGGCCCCCUGGACGAAGACUGACGCUCAGGUGCGAAAGCGUGGGGCAGCAGACAGGAUUAGAUACCCUGGUAGGUCCACGCUGUAAAACGAUGUCGAUUUUGGAGGUUGUGCCCCUUGAGGCGUGGCUUCCGGAGCUAACGCGUUAAAUCGACCGCCUGGGGAGUACGGCCGCAAGGUUAAAACUUAAAGGAAUUG